UACGUAGGCAGCGAGCGUUGUUCGGAGUUACUGGGCGUAAAGAGUGCGUAGGCGGUUUUCUAAGUUUGGUGUGAAAUCUCCCGGCUUAACUGGGAGGGUGCGCCGAAGACUGGAAGGCUUGAGUUUGGGAGAGGGACGCGGAAUUCCAGGUGUAGCGGUGAAAUGCGUAGAUAUCUGGAGGAACACCGGUGGCGAAGGCGGCGUCCUGGACCAACACUGACACUGAGGAGCGAAAGCCAGGGGAGCAAACGGG
rnacentral:rRNA from 1 species